rnacentral:rRNA from 1 species
GCUUGCUCUUGAUGACGAGUGGCGCACGGGUGAGUAACGCGUAUGCAAUCUACCUAUAACUGAGGAAUAGCCCAGAGAAAUUUGGAUUAAUACCUCAUAAUAUUAUUAUUUGGCAUCAUUUAAUAAUUAAAACUCCGGUGGUUAUAGAUGAGCAUGCGUUCUAUCAGCUAGUUGGUGAGGUAAGAGCUCACCAAGGCUACGAUAGAUAGGGGGCCUGAAAGGGUGAUCCCCCACACUGGUACUGAGACACGGACCAGACUCCUACGGGAGGCAGCAGUGAGGAAUAUUGCACAAUGGAGGAAACUCUGAUGCAGCCAUGCCGCGUGCAGGAUGAAGGCCCUAUGGGUUGUAAACUGCUUUUUUACAAGAAGAAACCUUGGUACGUGUACCAACUUGACGGUAUUGUAAGAAUAAGCACCGGCUAACUCCGUGCCAGCAGCCGCGGUAAUACGGAGGGUGCAAGCGUUAUCCGGAUUUAUUAGGUUUAAAGGGUUCGCAGGCGG